rnacentral:rRNA from 1 species
AGAGUUUGAUCCUGGCUCAGGAUGAACGCUGGCGGUAUGCCUAACACAUGCAAGUCGAACGGUCUCUUCGGAGAUAGUGGCGGACGGGUGAGGAACGCGUGAGAAUCUGCCUCUAAGUCGGGGACAACAGUGGGAAACUACUGCUAAUACCGGAUGAGCUGAAAAGUAAAAGAUUUAUCGCUUAGAGAGGAGCUCGCGUCUGAUUAGCUAGAUGGUAGUGUAAAGGACUACCAUGGCGACGAUCAGUAGCUGGUCUGAGAGGAUGAGCAGCCACACUGGGACUGAGACACGGCCCAGACUCCUACGGGAGGCAGCAGUGGGGAAUUUUCCGCAAUGGGCGAAAGCCUGACGGAGCAAUACCGCGUGGGGGAGGAAGGCUCUUGGGUUGUAAACCUCAAAACUUAGGGAAGAAAAAAAUGACGGUACCUAAUAUAAGCAUCGGCUAACUCCGUGCCAGCAGCCGCGGUAAUACGGGGGAUGCAAGCGUUAUCCGGAAUCAUUGGGCGUAAAGCGUCCGUAGGUGGCAUUUCAAGUCUGCUGUCAAAGACCGAAGCUCAACUUCGGGAAGGCGGUGGAAACUGAAAAGCUAGAGUGAAGUAGGGUAGAGGGAAUUCCUAGUGUAGCGGUGAAAUGCGUAGAGAUUAGGAAGAACACCAGUGGCGAAGGCGCUCUACUGGGCAUAUACUGACACUGAGGGACGAAAGCUAGGGUAGCGAAAGGGAUUAGAUACCCCUGUAGUCCUAGCGGUAAACGAUGGAUACUAGGUGUUGUCUGUAUCGACCCGGACAGUGCCGAAGCAAACGCGUUAAGUAUCCCGCCUGGGGAGUACGCACGCAAGUGUGAAACUCAAAGGAAUUGACGGGGGCCCGCACAAGCAGCGGAGCGUGUGGUUUAAUUCGACGCAACGCGAAGCACCUUACCCAGGCUUGACAUGCAGCUGCAUCCGUGGGAAACCACGGCGCCUUCGAGGGCGCUGCACAGGUGCUGCACGGCUGUCGUCAGCUCGUGUCGUGAGAUGUUGGGUUAAGUCCCGCAACGAGCGCAACCC